rnacentral:lncRNA from 1 species
UAGCAGGAAAACAGAGACGUAGUGUACCCUAAGCUGAUAAAAAAAAAUCUACGCACUCAUCUGCAAUAGCACCCGCGCAAUAGCCUCGGUGCAACUGGGGACCAAGUAGGGGACAGGGGCGGUCCAGAAUACGUCCCCAUCUGACGGGACAUGUCUGUUGAUUCGCGAUUGUACCUGCAGAUAUUACGCACUUUUUGAAGGCGAAGAUCCCUUUUAAGUACGUGUUUAUUCCAUCCAUCUACCUGGGAGGGGAAUCGGUGCGCAUCUCACAGAUCUGGAUCAAUGAAUCAUGGCAGAGCACAGAUGGAGAGAUCAAGAAAAGGAAGGAGAAAUGAGUAAG